rnacentral:rRNA from 1 species
GUGUCAGCCGCCGCGGUAAUACGUAGGGGGCAAGCGUUGUCCGGAAUCAUUGGGCGUAAAGCGCGCGUAGGCGGCCCGAUAAGUCCGCUGUAAAAGUCCAGGGCUCAACCCUGGAAAGCCGGUGGAUACUGUCGGGCUAGAGUCCGGAAGAGGCGAGUGGAAUUCCUGGUGUAGCGGUGGAAUGCGCAGAUAUCAGGAGGAACACCGAUGGCGAAGGCAGCUCGCUGGGACGGUACUGACGCUAAGGCGCGAAAGCGUGGGGAGCGAACAGGAUUAGAAACCCUCGUAGUCC